GAUGAACGCUGGCGGCGUGCUUAACACAUGCAAGUCGAACGAGAAAUGGAGACGGAAACCUUCGGGCGGAAGGCUUCAUUUCGAGUGGCGGACGGGUGAGUAACGCGUGGGUAACCUGCCUCAUACAGGGGGAUAACAGUUGGAAACGACUGUUAAUACCGCAUAAGACCACAGCACCGCAUGGUGCGGGGGUAAAAACUCCGGUGGUAUGAGAUGGACCCGCGUUCGAUUAGCCAGUUGGCGGGGUAACGGCCCACCAAAGCGACGAUCGAUAGCCGAUCUGAGAGGAUGACCGGCCACAUUGGGACUGAGACACGGCCCAAACUCCUACGGGAGGCAGCAGUGGGGAAUAUUGCACAAUGGGGGAAACCCUGAUGCAGCGACGCCGCGUGAGUGAAGAAGUACUUCGGUAUGUAAAGCUCUAUCAGCAGGGAAGAAUAUGACGGUACCUGAGUAAGAAGCCCCGGCUAACUACGUG
rnacentral:rRNA from 1 species